rnacentral:rRNA from 1 species
UACAGAGGAGCCAAGCGUUGUCCGGAUUGACUGGGCGUAAAGCGCACGCAGGCGGUUGCGCGCGUGGGGUGUGAAAUCUGGCCGCUUAACGGCCAGGCGCCAUCCCAUACGGCGCGACUGGAGUGAUGCAGAGGUCGAUGGAAUUGCCGGCGUAGUGGUGAAAUGCGUAGAGAUCGGCAGGAACACCCAGGGGGAAACCAGUCGACUGGGCAUCUACUGACGCUGAGGUGCGAGAGCGUGGGGAGCGAACCGG